rnacentral:lncRNA from 1 species
UUCAAUUAUUCAUUGUAUUUUUGAUAUUUGCUUAACAUCUAUUGAAUGUUUUAUGGAUUCGACCAUGUCUUUUCCAUUGAAUAAUUAAAAUACUCGUUGAGUUUAAAUUUCAAUUGAUUUAAUGACGUGAUUCGAUUACUACCUUAUGGUUGAGGUAUAUUGUCGCUUCUUGAAUCUUGUUUCAAUAAGUAUAAAAGGAAUGUGUUUUUAAGAAAUCUAAGUUCUAGAAUUACAAGUUCUAGGUUUCUCUUCAUGAAUUGAUUUUGAAAUUGGUUUAAUUCCUAUUAGAUUUUUCAUAGAAUUAGUCAUUUUAUCGAAAUAUUUAUUGAACUUCAAUUUCAAAUAUGUCAUUGGAAGAUUAUUUACUUCCUUAUGCGUGUGUAUAUGGAUGUUUCUUAAUCUUAUUUCAAUGAAUAAACGUGGGAAUGUAUUACAUGAAGCCUAGAUUUUUGAGUAAAAUGCAUGAAUAAGUGAUAUUAUUUGAACCAAAUUGAGCAAGUGAAUUCCGGUGCUUCACUAAUUUUCAUACAUUGAUACUUACAUUUCAUUCACACCGAUAAAUCCUUUACACAAACCACGAGGAAAACCCUUGAGCUAAUAGAUCCUUUAAACAAAUUUACAUCUCUCUGUGGAUAUGAUACCCCAAAACUAUACAACAAUCAUCGUGUUAUACUUUGGGCGAAAUCAAAUUUUGGCACCAUUGCCGGGGAGACAGUACUAAUAAUUGAAGGAUUCUCGAGCAAAAGGGUGACUUCGUUCUCUCUCUCUCUUUUUUUUACAUUCUUUUAGUUAGUUUAGUUUAUUUUCUUAAUUAUUUUGUUAUUUCUCAUUUACUUUUAUUUUUUUGAACAGAGAUUGGGAAGAGCGGGGACAAUUCAUUGCAAAGCCGCAACCAGUAUUUGAAUCUCUUUCUAACCCUCUCUUUAAUACUGAAUCAGUUGACACACACAUCACAACACACAACACAAUGACUGAUAGUAAACAUAGAGAGACACUAACUAGGACUUUGCAUGAUUACCUUCAUCCAACACACAUUUCCACGCCAUCUUGCAUUAUGUUCCCACCCAAUAUGCCACGCAUGGAUCUAAAAUUGGGAAUGAUUCAACUUCUUCCCAUUUUUCACGGACUUGAAAAUGAGAAUCCAUACGUGCAUAUUCUAGAAUUUGAAGAAGUGGUUGCAACCUUCCACAAUCAACGAUGUACAAUGGAUACAAUCAGGCUUAAAUUUUUCCCAUUUUCACUUAAACAACGAGCAAAAAGCUAGUUGUACUCAUUGAAAUCACGUUCGAUUGGGACUUGGGUUGAAAUGACUCAAGCAUUCUUUGACAAGUACUUUCCCCACCACAAAACAAUUGCAUUGAAAAAGUAAAUCUCUUCUUUUACUCAAAAGGAGAGUGAAAUUUUAUAUUAAGCAUGGGAAAGGUACAAAGAAUUGCAAGCCCUCUGUCCCUACCACGGUUAUGAAAGUUGGUACAUUGUGAGAUAUUUUUAUGAGAGAUUAUUACCUAGGGAGCGCCAAUUUGUUGAAAUGAUGUGCAAUGGUGAAUUUUUGCAAAAAGAUCUGGAUGAGGCUAUAGACUACUUAGAUGACUUAACUGAGAAAGCCCUUACAUGGAUUGGACCUAGUGCUUCUAAUAGUACUAAUAGGUCACGACCAAUAGGAAACCCAACUAGCAUAGGCAUUUACUAUCUUAGAGAGGAAGACAACCUUAGAGCUAAGGUAGAAUCUCUCGCUAGAGAAAUUGAAGCUCUACGUGCUAAGGAAUAAAAAACAACCCGACCUAUUUCCCAUGUUGAGUCUUUAGAGCCUUGUUUUAUGUGUGGAGAGAGUGAUCACCUAGCACAAGAGUGUGCCACUUAUGCUGAGAUGAGGGGACUUUAUGAGGAACACUGUAAUGCUUUAGACAUAUAUCAAAAACCUUAUACUCCCUACUCCGAAUCCUAUAAUCUAGGGUGGCGGAAUCACCCCAAUCUCACUUGGAAAUCUGAAAACCAACAACCUGUCCAGUUCCAUAGAGCUUACAAUGCACCCUCACAUCAACCUACAUCCUCUAGAAAUUCCUUAGAAGAUACUUUACAUACAUUUAUUUAGGCACAGGGUAAAACAAAUAAAAAAUUUGAGACUAUGAUUGACCAGUUAGUUAAGGAAAAUAAAUAAAUCAAAACUCAUGUGUCCAAACUAACUAACGCCUUAGCUGUAGGGAAGCGGGGAAAAUUUCCAGCACAAGCUCAACCAAACCCUAGAGGAUAGCAUAUCGCACAAACCUCGAGCUUCAGAGAAAACAACCUUAAGGAAGUUAACGCUAUAACCACUCGGUUCGGUAAGGUUAUUGAACCAACCCCCAAACCUAGGGAAAUUGAAAAGGUGCCUAGCAAUACAGAAGAGAGUACCCCUAACGAUGAGGUAGUGAAAAAUCCAUCUAGAGUGUCAUUCCCUCAAGCACUUAAAUCUACCUCGAAAUUCGUCGGGCAACAUAGUGAAAUCCUAGAGCAUCUUAAAUAAGUAAAAAUCAAUCUGCCACUCUUGCACGUGAUUUCCCAGGUCCCCACAUAUGCUAAAGUCCUUAAGGAUUUGUGUACUACAAAAAGGAAGCACCAUGUCAAGAAAACCGUUUUCUUAACGGAACAUGUGAGUGCCGUAAUUGAACAAAAAGUCCCGUCAAAAUAUAAAGACCCUGGUUGUCCUACUGUUUCUUGUGUCAUAGGGAACCAUGAGAUUUCACAAGCUCUUCUCGACUUAGGGGCUAGUAAAAAUAUCAUGUCUUAUGCUAUAUACUUGGCGUUAGGUCUAGGUGAGAUCAAACCUACUUCUGUGGUCCUGUAAUUAGCUGAUUGAUCUACCGUUAGACCUAAGGGAGUAGUUGAGGAUGUAUUGGUACAAAUUGACAAAUUUUGCUACCCCGUGGAUUUCUUGGUAUUGGACUUGAAAGUUGAUGUAAAUGUUAACUCCAAAGUUCCCAUUAUUCUUGAUAGACCUUUUCUUGCCAUAGCUAAUGCUCUUACUAAUUGUAGGAAUGGUCUAAUGAAACUAUCAUUUGGGAACAUGACCCUGGAGACAUCAACAUCUUUCACAUCAUGAAGCAACCUGAGGAGGAUGACGAGUGUCAUUAAACAUUCAUGAUUGAUGCACUCGUUCAGGAGGAAGCACCUGUGACUAUUGAUCCCAACCCUUUAAGUUCUUUCCUUUUAAAUUUUGAAAUUCCCACAGGGUACGAUAAUGGAGAAUAUGCUGAUAUUUGUGCUGCUUUUGAUUAUUUUCAGUAUUAUGGGACACCAUCGGUGAUCAUUUCCACUGAGCUUGGUGCAAUGCAAAGAGUGUUAACAAUGCCCUAGUUGGAUGUGGGCUAAAGAACGCAAUAUUGGGUCGAGCCAACGAUAAGAAACAAAUGCGCUGCUUAGGAGGCAAUCCAAGGGAAAUUCUUUUUCCUUCUCUUUCUUUUCUUAUUUUUACAUUGUUUUUAGGUUUAUUUUUAUCACAUGCAUUAUUUAUUGUAUUUUUAGGUUAUUUUCAUUACAUACAUUAUUCACUGCAUUUUAGUUUAUUUUCAUUUUAUGCAUUAUCCUUUUCAAUGAGUACUUUCAAGCUUAUUACACUUCAGCUUAUGUUGAUUCACUUCGAUAUUCAGGUGACAUUUUUCCUUACCUUUAUUUGGUGGACAUGUUUGUUGCAUUGAGG